GAUGAACGCUAGCGGCAGGCCUAAUACAUGCAAGUCGAACGAUAGAAGAGGGCUUGCUCUCUUCGAAAGUGGCGCACGGGUGUGUAACGCGUAUGCAACCUACCUUAAUCAGGGGGAUAGCCCGAAGAAAUUCGGAUUAACACCGCAUAAAAUCACAGUACAGCAUUGUACAAUGAUCAAAUAUUUAUAGGAUUAAGAUGGGCAUGCGGGACAUUAGCUAGUUGGCGGGGUAACGGCCCACCAAGGCGACGAUGUCUAGGGGAUCUGAGAGGAUGACCCCCCACACUGGUACUGAGACACGGACCAGACUCCUACGGGAGGCAGCAGUAAGGAAUAUUGGUCAAUGGAGGCAACUCUGAACCAGCCAUGCCGCGUGCAGGAAGCCGGCCCUCUGGGUUGUAAACUGCUUUUAUUCGGGAAUAAACCUCAUUAUGUAUAGUGAGCUGAAUGUACCGAAGGAAUAAGGAUCGGCUAACUCCGUGCCAGCCGCCGCUGUAA
rnacentral:rRNA from 1 species